rnacentral:rRNA from 1 species
ACAGCAGCCGCCGCGGUAAUACGUAGGUGGCAAGCGUUGUCCGGAAUUAUUGGGCGUAAAGCGCGCGCAGGUGGUUUAAUAAGUCUGAUGUGAAAGCCCACGGCUCAACCGUGGAGGGUCAUUGGAAACUGGGAAACUUGAGUGCAGAAGAGGAGAGUGGAAUUCCACGUGUAGCGGCGAAAUGCGUAGAGAUGUGGAGGAACACCAGUGGCGAAGGCGACUCUCUGGUCUGUAACUGACGCUGAGGAGCGAAAGCGUGGGGAGCGAGCAGGAUUAGAUACCCGUGUAGUCCCUGUCUCUUAUAC